rnacentral:rRNA from 1 species
CAGUCGCCGCGGUAAUACGAAGGGUGCAAGCGUUACUCGGAAUUACUGGGCGUAAAGCGUGCGUAGGUGGUGGUUUAAGUCCGUUGUGAAAGCCCUGGGUUCAACCUGGGAAUUGCAGUGGAUACUGGGUCACUAGAGUGUGGUAGAGGAUAGUGGAAUUUCCGGUGUAGCAGUGAAAUGCGUAGAGAUCGGAAGGAACAUCUGUGGCGAAGGCGACUAUCUGGGCCAACACUGACACUGAGGCACGAAAGCGUGGGGAGCAAACAGGAUUAGAUACCCCCGUAGUCCCUGUCUCUUAUAC